GCGGCGGCCUGCACGGCGAAGCCGAGGAAGGCGACCAUGGCGAGGCGCGCGUGCUUGAUCUCCGCCAGCUGCAGCCGCUCCUUCUUCUCCGGGUCGGCCGCCAGGCCGAGCGGGUCGAAGUAGGAGCCGCCCGGGUAGAGCCUCUUCUCCGGGUCGAGCUCGGCGUUGCGCUGGAACUCGAUGUAGCCGAUCACGAGCACCUCGAUCCAGAUGAGUGUCGAGAUGGAGAAGGGCAGCGGCU
rnacentral:lncRNA from 1 species